UGAGUUAUUGUUUUUAAGUUUGGAAUAAACUACACUAUAUAAGGGAAGAUGAUGGUGGCCAAAGUGAAAAGCUUGUUUGCAACUGGUUGAUUUCUAAAAUGAAAUGUUUCUUGUGUUAUCAGCAUUGGGACCACUGGAACUCUCCCACAGCCCCCUGGAGGUAUCCAUGUUUAACCUAAUAAUGUAUUCUUGACAAACACAGCAACACAGGCUACUCUCUCUCUCUCUGUCUGUGUGUGUGUGUUUGUGUGUUUCUCUCCCUGUCUUUCUCUCUCUGUCUCUCUCUUUCUCUGUGUGUCUGCCUCUCUCUCUGUCUCUCUCUCGCUGUGUCUCUCUCUCUCUGUGUGUCUCUAUGCCUUUCUAUCAGCUGGGUUUAUUCUCAGCUGACUGAUGCACACAACAUAACAAGGCCUUUCUCCCGUCCUCUCUCUCUCUCUCUCUCUACCCCCCCCUCUGGCGCACUCUCUCUCUCCCCAGGUUCUCUCCUCCAUCCGGUCGCCCCUCCUCUGCUGUGCACCUGCUCCUCCCCUCCUGCCUUAUUAUCCUCAGACUCAGAGCAGCGCUCCGUCCUCGCCAAGUGAUGCUCCUCGGCGGCGCACAUCGGUGGCUUAUCACCGACCGGCGCAGGGAGGAACGCGGCUUGUUUCUUCUCCUCUGGAAACAACGCUGAGGGACGGCACAAAAUGGGCAUGUAACGGGGCUUGUGUACGAGUGAGCCCGAGGAGGGUAGGACGACGAAGAAGCACUCAGGUCCCAUCCGAGGGAAGAGAGGAAGGAGGAGGAGGAGGAGGAGGAGGAGGACUCCGGGGAAAGGGUCCCGGCGGGACGGGGGGAACGCACGCAGCGGAAGGUUUUGUGCUCUACAUAGUUUGAAAAUGGACUAAAGGCGUCUGUUCCUGUUGUUUGGUUGUGACAUAAUAUAAUCACGGGAUUCGAAGGAAAGGUUGUUGGAGUUGCGGUGGCUCGCGCGGUGCCUUUCUGUUUGCGAUGGAGUGAAUGAAAGAGAGGGCGCGCGGUAACUUCAGCCUCGCCAUGAAAUCAGUGUUUUUCAGCCGCUUCUUCAUCCUGCUGCCCUGGGUCCUUAUUGUCAUCAUCAUGAUCGAUAUGGACAGUAAAAGGGCGGUCCGGGCUCCAGCGGCCGGUCGCACCGGCAGGGCGCAGCGGGCCGCCCGAAACGGCGACCCGGGAGUCGGUGGCGCCCAGAACCAGUCCGCUCUGCCGGUUAUCUACGCCAUUACUCCGACGUACACCCGGCCGGUGCAGAAAGCGGAGCUGACCCGUCUGGCCCACGCCUUCCGCCAGGUGCCCCGGUUCCACUGGAUCGUAGUAGAGGACUCGACCACGCGCACGGAGCUGGUGGCGCGCUUUCUGGCCCGGUGCGGCGUGCCGUACACACACCUGCAUGUGUUCACUCCGCGCAGGUUUAAGCGCACCGGGAUGCCACGCGCCACCGAACAGAGGAAUGUGGCUCUCGCGUGGCUCCGGCAGCACCGGGGCACGCGGGACGCCGGGGUGGUUUUCUUCGCGGAUGACGACAACACGUACAGCCUGGAGCUGUUUGAGGAGAUGCGCAGUACUCGAGGGGUUUCUGUUUGGCCUGUGGGAUUUGUAGGCGGCAGAGCAUAUGAGCGUCCCCUGGUGUCCGGGGGUAAAGUUGUGGGUUGGUACACUGGCUGGAGACCGGACCGACCCUUCGCCACCGACAUGGCAGGUUUUGCGGUGAACCUCCAGGUGAUCCUGGCGAACCCGCGGGCGCAGUUCAAGCGCCGCGGCUCCCAGCCGGGGAUGCAAGAGUCUGACUUUCUCAAGCAGAUCACAAAGGUCACCGAGUUGGAGCCCAAGGCCAACAAUUGCACCCGGCAGCGUCCCCAGAAGGACCUCAAACUGUCCCACCGACAUGGUAGAUGACCUGGCAUGGCACGAAUAUUAAAACCUUUUAUUGCACAACUCAAUCGCUGCCGGUGCUGGUUUGGCACACCCGCACAGAGAAACCACACCUCGCAAAUGAGCCCAAACAUCGGAAAGACACUGUGGUCAUUGAGGUGUGAGAGGAAGAGCUGAGCAGCGGAUCCAAAAGCAGAAUCUGAUUGUGUCUGCCCAUCAUCUCUUGGCUGGGACUAACAGCAGCACCCUGCUUUCUCUCCUUAUGGCCUGGAUAAAAUCUGUUCAUCAUGGACACAGACUCUGAGGAACUGCAUGAUACAAGACUUCUGGCUGUCGGUCAAACAUGCUUUGUGAGAAGUGGACAACACUGAAUCUGUUCCUUUUACAAACUGGAAUGACUUGGCCUGUUCAUUUCCUCCAUACAUGAUUUGUUGAUAUGAAAAACUUAAGUGUAAAUGUAAAAAAUAUAAUGUUGCUGAAGUGCCAUGUGAAUACUUGUCAUUGUCAAUGUCAUUUUAACCAUUAAUACAUCAUUGUCAAAUUAACUGUGGGUUUGAGAUAUAAUUAGCAUACAAACAAGUCUCUUGGUACAGAUAAUUGCUACACAGUAUCUUUUGGCAGUGGUAUUACUUACAAUGCUGUUUUUUUUUAACAGCUGAUAAAAAGAUUGAUACAAAUUUCAUGGCUGUGCAUUAAGUACGAAGCUGGUAUCAGGAUGCUGUUAGCGUAUAGCUUGUCUAGCAGAAAGACUGUAACUAGCUAGGCUAUUAGAAAGCUAGCUUGGCUGAAGGACUGUAUACAGCUAGCCUGGCCCUCUUCAAAGUUCAAGAAUAUGCCUACCAGAAAAAUAUAAACAUAUGUUUUCUCAUUUAUUUAACCUGGAAAUAAGCAGAAAUGCCAAACUGACAAUUUUGUUGUUUUAGGGGAAGUUACGUGGUGUAACUAUUUCUUUGGGAACAGCAGCUGUGAGAUUGACAUGCUACGCAGAGGUAGGCUACUGACGGAUAAACUGGUGUUCACCAAGAACACACAACACCCCUGUAAAAUCUAUUGGCCAGGCUGUAGUCUCGCUUACUCUCGAUUACAAUUUUGCUACGUUUACACGUGGCCGGCUAUUUUCAUAAACAGACAUUUCAACCUCUCGGUUUUCAGAAAAGUGUUCGUUUAUAUGUACCCGUGUAUAUAUGCCGUCAAUGCAGUCAAGAGCA